rnacentral:rRNA from 1 species
GACGAACGCUGGCGGCGUGCUUAACACAUGCAAGUCGAACGGACAGGCGCGGCGUUUGUGGGUUGCUCGAUUGGCGAACGGGGGAGUAACACGUGAGUAACCUGCCCUUGACUUUGGGGUAACUUCAGGAAACUGGGGCGAAUAUCGGAGAGGAGCUCCUGCUGCAUGGUGGGGGUUGGUAAGUGUCGGCGGUGGUGGAUGGUCUCGCGGCUUAUCAGCUGGUUUGUGGAGUAGUGGCUGACCAAGGCUUCGACGGGUAGCCCGCCUGGGAGGGUGACCGGCGACCUUGGGCCUGCGAGAGGGACCAGUAGCCUACGGGCGGCAGUAGUGGGGAAUAUUGCGGAACGGCGGCGCGCGUGAUGUAGAAACGUCGCGUGCGGGAAGCUCGCCUUCUGGUUGUAAACAGAUUUCGAAUGUGCCGUACACGGAGUGACGGUACCGGGUCAAGAAGCCACGGCUAACUACGUG